rnacentral:rRNA from 1 species
UACGGAGGGGGCUAGCGUUGUUCGGAAUUACUGGGCGUAAAGCGCGCGUAGGCGGCUUUGUAAGUUAGAGGUGAAAGCCCGGAGCUCAACUCCGGAACUGCCUUUAAGACUGCAUCGCUAGAACGUUUGGAGAGGUGAGUGGAAUUCCGAGUGUAGAGGUGAAAUUCGUAGAUAUUCGGAAGAACACCAGUGGCGAAGGCGACUCACUGGACAACUGUUGACGCUGAGGUGCGAAAGCGUGGGGGAGCAAACAGG